CCUACGGGUGGCAGCAGUGGGGAAUCUUGGGCAAUGGGCGCAAGCCUGACCCAGCAACGCCGCGUGAAGGUAGAAGGCUCUCGGGUUGUAAACUUCUUUUAUCAGGGACGAAGCAAGUGACGGUACCUGAUGAACAAGCCACGGCUAACUACGUGCCAGCAGCCGCGGUAAUACGUAGGUGGCAAGCGUUAUUCGGCUUUACUGGGGGUAAAGGGCGUGUAGGCGGGCGUGCAAGUCAGAUGGUAAAACUAUGGGCUCAACCCAUAGCCUGCAUUUGAAACUGUACUUCUUGAGUGCUGGAGAGGCAAGCGGAAUUCCGGGUGUAGCGGUGAAAUGCGUAGAUAUACGGAGGAACACCAGUGGCGAAGGCGGAUUGCUGGACAGUAACUGACGCUGAGGCGCGAAAGCGUGGGGAGCAAACAGGAUUAGAUACCCCAGUAGGC
rnacentral:rRNA from 1 species